CGACCCCCCACUGGGUCUUCGUUCGUCCCACUCCCUCUCAUCUUCAUUUCUCUGACGACCGACCGACACUCUGGCGUGCCACCAACGCCACUGCGGGCCUCCUUCUUUCCCGUCAUCUUCACCUCUUAGUCGACUUCUCGCCUGACGCCCCACUGGAAUCAUCUUCUUCGUAUCUCUGUGCUUCUUAGUUGAUUUCUUGCCUGGACGUACUAUAAAAUGGGUAAGAAUCAAGCGUACAAAGCGAUGCAGAAAGCCAGGCUAGGGUCCUCGAGCUCGACAGGGCCAGCUGAGAUUGAAGAUGGAAUGGUGGAUGGUUCAUUUCAUUCACCAGCGUGGCAUGCUGCUCGUUUGGCCAG
rnacentral:misc_RNA from 1 species